rnacentral:rRNA from 1 species
AUUGAACGCUGGCGGCAUGCCUUACACAUGCAAGUCGAACGGUAACAGGUCUUCGGAUGCUGACGAGUGGCGAACGGGUGAGUAAUACAUCGGAACGUGCCCGAUCGUGGGGGAUAACGAAGCGAAAGCUUUGCUAAUACCGCAUAAGAUCUACGGAUGAAAGCAGGGGACCGCAAGGCCUUGCGCGAACGGAGCGGCCGAUGGCAGAUUAGGUAGUUGGUGGGAUAAAAGCUUACCAAGCCGACGAUCUUUAGCUGGUCUGAGAGGACGACCAGCCACACUGGGACUGAGACACGGCCCAGACUCCUACGGGAGGCAGCAGUGGGGAAUUUUGGACAAUGGGCGAAAGCCUGAUCCAGCCAUGCCGCGUGCAGGAUGAAGGCCUUCGGGUUGUAAACUGCUUUUGUACGGAACGAAAAGACUCUUUCUAAUAAAGAGGGUCCAUGACGGUACCGUAAGAAUAAGCACCGGCUAACUACGUGCCAGCCGCCGCAGUAAAAC